CGGAGGAUGCAAGUGUUAUCCGGAAUCACUGGGCGUAAAGCGUCUGUAGGUGGUUUAAUAAGUCAACUGUUAAAUCUUGAGGCUCAACCUCAAAAUCGCAGUCGAAACUAUUAGGCUAGAGUAUAGUAGGGGUAAAGGGAAUUUCCAGUGGAGCGGUGAAAUGCGUAGAGAUUGGAAAGAACACCGAUGGCGAAGGCACUUUACUGGGCUAUUACUAACACUCAGAGACGAAAGCUAGGUAGCAAUGGG
rnacentral:rRNA from 1 species